rnacentral:lncRNA from 1 species
AUUAUGGCAGUGUGACCAACCCAACUCAGGAGGGGCACACUCCUUCCUAUGGUUCUCAGGGGGAUACAGCUCAAGUCAAUAGCCAAGCCCAAAUACUGCAGGUUAUCCACCCUAGGGAAGUGCUCAGCCGGGCUACGGAAUGCCCCCAACUUCACAGACUGAUAUGGUUAGCUUACGCACGAUAAAUCAUACUUCAUUGUUAAGAGAUUGCAGUUUCUUUUAUAAAAACUAGUUAUUACUAUAACUGAAGUAUAUAGAGUUGUGUACAUGAUAACCAAUAACCCAUUACUCAUGGCAAUAUGUAUAUUUAUAAUGAUUGGCUCUAAGAGUUGGACACAAUCUAAACCCUAGGUUCUUUUCAAAUACUGAAUUGAAUGAAUGUAUGUGCAUGAGAAUUACUAAUAGAAAUAUUUUUUAUUAAGAAAAAAUUUUAUUAUCUUUUAAAGAUCAUUAUAUGAUGUUAGAUUGUCUUUUAUAGUCGAAAAGUUCGAUAUAAUCAAUUAACAUAAUUUAUCUAAUUAUAUUGUAAAUAAAUGAAAUUAAUUAACAAGCUAUUACUAAUUAAACUAUUAAUAAGUUGAUAAGGUGUCUGGUCGUUCUGGCACGACUAAUGCAUGUAUCAUGAGAUGGUACAAUUGUUUUAAGAAUAAAUUUCAAAAGUAGCAGAGUAUUUAAUAAAAUUUGUUACAAAAAGCGCUUUUAAUAGUAUUUUGUUAUAAAAUUAACUAUGACUGUUGAGAUAAUAAAAAAUUAAGCCAAAGAACCAAGCCCUCCGAAAAGGCUAAAAACUGGAAUAUCAAGCUGCAGAUAGUAGCAAUACUGCCGUCCUGUUGCAAAGCAAAAUGUCCAUAGCACAUCUGACGAGACAAAAUUAAAAUGUCCUACAACCCAAUAAUCAAUUUAUAAUCCGCCUUGUAGCUCGGGUCAACGUUGGAUCUUGGCGGAGGGUUCCACCUGAAAAUCCUGACUUGUAAAAGCCACUUAAUCCAAAUUUUGGCACUUCGGCAUCAGAGGACAGACACCAUCCCCAAAACAAAGCCUUACUGUCAAUGAGACACCCAAAAGGGGACCUCCCCUUUUGCCCCAAACAAAUUCUGCAGUAAUAGUCUCCAUCUCAGAAAGACCACCCAAUUCAUAAUAACCAACCACAUAGUAUGAAAAGACAAAUCAGAUCACUAUGAUCAUCAACAUUCACUAUCUCAAAACAUUUAAGCAAACAGAACAGGUCUAAACACUAGCAAACCUAACCUACCAACAGAAACACAAUUAACCAUUAAUAGAACAAACGAAAAUAGUCAAGAUAUUCCCAAAACAUAAAUCAUCAAUUCUUGGGUGACGUUUUAGCUACUCCACUCUGCUGGACAGUCUGUGAAGCUGGUGCUGUUUCGUAGGCCCCACGAGCAUUACCAGUUGCAUUACCAUCAGAGUAUACUGGAGGCUGGGAGUAACCACUACCAUAUGAGGUGUUGUAAGGCGGCUGUCCCUGCACAUAACCUUGCUGAUUUGCAGGUGGAGCACCAUAGGCAGAAUAACCUGACUGACCUGAUGUAGUUCCAUAACCAGAUGGUGGGGCACGCUGUGAACUAGAAUCGGGUUGAGUAUAGCCAGAUGAUGGUGGCUGUGAAGGGGGAUAUCCUGGCUGAACAGGAGCAGGCUGGGCAUAGCCUCCGGCACUGGGAGAAUGCUGGGUCUGUCCAUAGACAGGAGGAUUUGCCAGAGGCUUCUGUGCUUGACUAGCUCCAUAGCCUGCUCCAUAUCCAGACUGAGCUGGUGCUUGACUCCCAUAUGCAGUUUGUGAAGUUGGGGGCAUUCCAUAGCCUUGCUGAGCACUUCCCUGGGGUGGAUAACCUGCAGUAUUUGGGCUUGGCUGUUGACUUGAGCUAUAUCCCUG